rnacentral:lncRNA from 1 species
UGGUAUAUGUAUGGCUUUAUAUAGCCUAUUACAAUGCAUUUUCUAUUUUUCUACUAUUUUGCGUUGUUUUUCUUCUGCUUUGCGUGUUUGGUUUCCAUUUUGCAGGUGCUGUAGGCGGCGGUGGCAGAAAGUAGGUGGCCACUUGCACUGAGGAUGUGACGGGGGCGGUGGCGGCAAGUCAGAGGGCAGGUGGUUGGAGGCCCUAGGUGCGGCAUACCUAGGGUUUUGUUUAUUUUUUCUGUUUUAUGUUAUUGGGUUUAGUGGGCUGCUAGGGUUAGGUAUUUGGGUAGUGGGAUUGUUUGGGCUUUGGGUCUGUUUUGGGUCUAUUUUGGGUUAUGGGUUGUAAUUGGGUUGAGG